ACAAAUAUUCAUUGAAGAGACAAAAGAAAUGAGUAAUGAAUGCGUCAACGUUUACUUGCUACAGUAAGCCACGACCCAAAGCAAAAAAGAAGCUUGUACUAAUACUAAGCUUGCUAUAUAAAUAUGCCUUCUAGGGUUAGGGUUUUCCAAUGGAAAAAUAUUACGACAUACUGUAGCUAGCUGAGAAUUUUCUGCCAUACAUCUGCCAUCUCUCUUUUCAAACUAAAGAGAUGACAAAACGUCAAGUGAUUUUGAUGAAGGAUGACUUUUCAGACGACGAUUCAACAAAUUCAUCAUUUACUAUUAGGACAGUGAGAUAUAGAGAGUGCCAAAAAAAUCAUGCAGCAAGUGUUGGCGGAUACGCGGUUGACGGGUGUCGGGAGUUCAUGCCAUGUGGCGAGGAAGAAACUCCCGGCGGCCUUACUUGCGCAGCCUGUGGCUGCCACCGUAAUUUUCAUCGACGGGAAGUGGAAACUGAAGUUGCUUGUGACUGUUCCUUCCCGACUUAAAAAAUUUGCUCCAAGCUAAAGAAAUCAGUUAGAGAAGCGAUGUUGCUGAAAAGGCCUGGGCUUAUUGGUCAAGACAAGAAAGGACCGACAUAUACUUUUUUCACUUAACCAUAGUAUUAUGGGAGGGGAGCAAGCUUUAGGUAAGUGUUAAUUCUAAUCAGGUAUGUGUCAAAUCUGUAAAUGAAACAGCCUCGCAGGUGCGUGUUUUUUGGAUUUCCAGCACUUUCUUUCUGUGCCCAAUUGACAGUAUCUUCCAAAGCCUCAAAACCACUAUGUGGUGACUAUUAAAAAACCAUGUUCUCCAUUAUCUGUAUAGUAAAUUAUAGAUAUAUAUUUUCAGAAAAGAAGCAUUUUGCUUAUUUAUCUUUUA